rnacentral:antisense_RNA from 1 species
CCAGAGAUGACCAAAAUUUAAUGUCUGAAAUGACUUUAAAGAGAGUUCAAGAGAGAGACCAUUUGUAGAGAAAGGGAAUGAGAAGAUAUUGAAUACAAGCUUUAAGAGUCUUUUAAACAUAGAUAAAUAGACACGAUAAGAAUAGAGAGAAAUAUUUAAAAAGAUAUACAUGUGUGUGUGGAGAGGAGCUAAAUUAAUUACACCAAAAAAAAAGAGUAAAUAAAGAAGUUACCAAAAAGAACUCUAAUAAAUACUUCGCGCAAACAUAUAAGAAACCCGAAUACAAAACCUUAUUGGCUCUAAUUGGAGGCCUGAUUUCUGUCUAAGUAUCAAUAAAUUUGAAUAGUAGAGCCUCGAAAGAUUAGAUUGUGACUUCACAUUUCCCCAUUGUAAAUUGAAUGAACUGGAUAAAUCAAGCAUUAAAUAAAAAUGUUUAAUGCAUGCGUAAUUAUACUUCAUGGCUAAGUAGCACCUCAACAACGCUUAUAUCGAAGUUCAGACUCGAUUGUUUAGAUUGUUAAUUAAAAAAAAAAAAAAAAAGAAAUACUCUGAUUAUUUUUUUUUUCUUGGCUCUUAAAUGAAAUACGGUAGCGAGUGGAGAGCAUGCAUAUAAUAUAUACAGCUUUCUAUCAUCACUACUAUUUGUUAUUACGUAUGAUGAAUACUCCAUAUUAACCAUACUGUUAGUCGUCCAGAGAUAUAUGACGCAAAUGAACACAUCUACGGUUCCCACAAGCCAUAUUGAAUGCCACUCUUGGCUUCAAUUGUAACUCCUCAAAGGAUUCAUCGCUAGCAUACAAGAAUACUAACGCUCUGUUUACAUAUGUAUGAGUUUCAACAACCUCAUCUGGUCUCUUCAUCCUUAUGACUGGACAUCCAUCAAUUGCCGAAACCUGUCCAUACCACAUAAUACAUCUCUGGGGAUCACCCAAAAUCGGGUCAUCGUUAUUGUUAACACCCCGGGCUAUUGCUGAAAGCACCUCCAUCAAACACUCUGAAGUCCUCCAAAAUUCCCUACCUCUCUCAUGUACACAUUUUUCCCAUUUGAGACAGAUAGAAUUAAUUUCCUCAGAGCUUCUUGGCUCAAAUGAAUUUAAGUUGGAUGGAGUAGCUAAAAGUGAGCUUCCAUAUGAUUGAGUAUCAUAGACAGAAUCUCCUUCACUCAGUUGGUAAGGGGUUUUUUUAGACCUUUCAUCAGAAAAAUAUCCAUUAAAAAUUCUCAAAUUAAAAAAAUGGCUAAAAGGUGGCUCAGUACAGAUUCUACAACGAAACAUAUUUACGAAACAAUCACUCUAUUUUUUUUGAAAUGAGAAAGUCGGCAGUUCUUAUAUGAAAGCAGUAUAUAUUAUCUUCCAGAAUAAUUAGAAAGUUUUUUUUUUUUUUUAUCUUUAAACAC